UACAGAGGGGUCAAGCGUUGUUCGGAAUUACUGGGCGUAAAGGGCGCGUAGGCGGCCGCCUAAGUCAGACGUGAAAUCCCUCGGCUCAACCGGGGAACUGCGUCUGAUACUGGGUGGCUUGAAUCCGGGAGAGGGAUGCGGAAUUCCAGGUGUAGCGGUGAAAUGCGUAGAUAUCAGGAGGAACACCGAUGGCGAAGGCAGUGUUCUGGGCCAGUACUGACGCUGAGGAGCGAAAGCGUGGGUAGCAAACAGG
rnacentral:rRNA from 1 species